GAUGUAUGAUACAUUAUUAAUUUAUAUUGGAGAAUUUCAAACUGAGGACUACAGUUGUUGGAGCUCGCGUACAGGAGGGUCCGUGCCAAUUAAGCACCGCUCCAUGCAGAAGACAUUUAAAGGGCACUUUACCUGGUAGCUCAGGAUGCUCUCAGGGUCGUUGGCUGGUGUACUCAUGGCUUUUGGGUUAACCUGCACAGUGUUCACGGAGUAUACAGACAUGAUGAGUUUAAACAUCGCGUCUUGAUGAAGGAUUUGGUGAAAAGCGUAAUGUUUCCCUGGCCGUGUUAUGAUGAUUUCCCGUCAGCGCUUCCACCUCCCCUCCCUCCUGUCCUGGCUGUGGGAGCAGGAUGCAAUGAGCAUCGCUACAGCAUCAGCCAAUCAGCGCGCAGCGGCACACAACGGGCUGCAACGCACUGCUGCUACCCAACACAACCAAGACUAGUCUAAGCUUAUACGUUACUCUAUGUCCAGAUUAGCAGCUUCUCAUAUUGCAACCCCUAAAAUGUACUGGAUAUGACACAG